UUUCAUGAGCAAGAUCUCGAAGUUAAGAAAUCUUACUUCACGCGUGACCCCACCAAGUGUUUUGUCUACAAUAGUAAUUUUGAUCUGUACAAUCCUUCUUCUCUAUGUGUUAACUGGAGAGACACCUUCGUUUGUUGCAUGGCUCCCGAUCCUCCAAACCCUGAAGACAUACCAUUGGCUUGCAGGUAUAAAUAAAUAUUGUUUUCUCAUCAAAAAUCUGUGGAAAAAAUAUUGAUUCUAACUAGGGCCGGAUUUGAGAUUUUGUGGGAUAAAAAUAUUUACUAAGAUUUUAAUAAAAAAAUAUUUAUAUAAUUUGUAGGCUGAUUUUUUUUGUAUAUAUUGAUUCUGACUAAGGCAGGGUUUUGUGGGAUAAAAAUAUUUACUAGAUUUAAUGAAAAAUAUUUAUAUAGUUUGGAGGUUGAUCCCCUAUACUAUAUUUGCGAAGUGAUUUUGCCAUAUGUCAUCUUUACAAUCAAUUUCACAAAACAAAUAUGACAUGACCACUGAAAUUGAUGACAUGGUUUCCGAAAAAAAUAUGACAUGAAUAAUUUUAUUUAAUGCUGAUUUAUAUUUUUGGCAAACUUAUUAAAAUAUGAUAAUAAUUCAUAUAUUACAUUUAAUAUUGAUAUUUCUUUUUGGUAAACUUUUUUUAAAUAUGGUAAUAGCUCAUACAUCAUCUAUAAAAUAAAUAUAUUAAUAUAUAAUUUUGUAUAAUUAUACAAUUUGUAUUACCAAAGCUUUCAAAGUUUCUACAAUUUUUAAAAAAAUUUAAAUAUCUAAUCGUAAAAUCAUUAGUUUCUUAUAUAUCUACAAAUUUUAUAAAUAUUGUUUAGGCUAAAUUUUUGAUAAUUAUAUAAUUUUAUAUCAUUUUUAUUAGUUUUAUACAAAUUGUUUAAUAUAUAUCAAAUUUUUAUUAAACAUUAGUAAGAAAAUAGUAAAAUCUAUAAUAUUUAAUAAAUUUUAUUUUUAAAUAUAAGUUAGAUUUAAAAGAUUUCUUACUGCACAUGGUGCAUGAAAACACUUAGUUUCUUUGUAUAUAACUCUAAAAAAAUUUGGGAACCAAUGUCAAUAUUUUACUAUAUUGUGCUCAAUCCGGUCAUGAAUUUCUAACUGACAUCAUUGGCUCAGGGAUGCUAUGAUUGAGUACUCGAAGCAUGUGAUGACCUUAGGUGGUUUUCUCUUUGAGCUUCUCUCAGAAGCUCUUGGUUUACACUCGGAGAUACUUAAGAGCAUGGAUUGCAUGAAGGCUUUGAAUGUGGUCGGCCAUUAUUACCCUCCUUGUCCACAACCCGACCUAACUUUUGGCACAAGUCAGCAUUCCGACAGCUCCUUCAUCACCAUUCUUCUUCAGGACCAAAUCGGUGGUCUUCAAAUUCUUCGUAAGGACUCUUGGGUCGAUGUCACUCCUCUUCCCGGAGCGCUCGUCAUCAACAUAGGAGAUUAUUUACAGGCAAUAUAUCAUUUUGGAGCUUUUAAAAGUAUAAUAUACAAUGCACUUUUGCUGAGAAACUAGGACACCUUUUAAUAUGCAGCUAAUAACGAAUGACAAGUUCAUAAGCGUGGAGCAUAGGGUGCUCACAAACAGAGCAGGACCGAGGAUUUCUGUCGCGGGCUUUUUCAGCACAAAUAUGCUUCCCAAUUCAACGGUUUACGGACCAAUCAAAGAGCUUCUUUCUGAAGAAAACCCUCCAAAAUACAAAGACUUCACUUUAGAAGAAUACAACAAGGGGUACUUUGAGAAAGGCCUUGACGGAACAUCGCAUCUGUCUAAGUUCAAGAUAUGAAGAACAUCUGAGUUAAAAUAUAUGUGCAUCAGUUCUUGUCUUGUUUUCCAUUUUAAGCUACUUUAUUUCCCUCUUAGCUCCCCUAUAACUAAACCACUACCAAAAGUAAGUACAGAAAUUGUGUGUCGGCAUUUAUUAAAUUCCCAUCGUAACAGCUUUGUAUUGGAUCAACAGAAAUAAAAUCAUUCUUCGUGUAUCAGAGAAUAAAAGUUGUUACUUCAAUGUUGGUGCUAGUUAUCAUUAAUUAUGCAAAUUUUAUGAAAAUGUUCUUAAAUUAAUAGAUAGUAGUGCUAAUUAUCAUUAUUUCGGUUCUUGAGUAAAUAAAAAUCGCCAGUAAUAGGUGUUCUUCUCUUUUCAUUUAUGAGAAAUUACCACAAAUAUCACUGGUACUACUUUUCAUUUUCAUGUAUACACUAAUCACUUUUAUCCUCAUUUUUAAUAAAUGGUAGAAGACACUUAUAUUCAUAGUGUUAACUAAUCUAUACUUAGGGUUGAGAAUUGAGGGGUGGCUUAGAGUUUUUGGAAUAUGAAAUUUAUGAUUCUAAUAAAUAUAUAAAUAAAUACUUAAAAAUUUAAAAAAUUUUAAAAAAAUAGUUUCAAGCAUAGUUUUCGAAAAAUAAAAUAAAAAUUCAAAAAAAAAAUUAUAAAAAAGUUCGAAUUUUAAAAAGUAUAAUUCGAAAACAUUAAAAAAAUUAUCAUUAUUUUUUAUUAUUAUUAUUUUUUAUUUAUUUAAAUAAUGAUUUAUUAUAUAUAUAGAGAACAAAUAUAUAAGAGUAUUUUGCCACUUAAUGAAGAAAAUAUUUUUGAAAAUGUCUCUUUAGUGGUGGUAAAGAUGAAAAAUGAUACCAUGAAAGUGGUAAACAUGAAAUUUCCCCUUGAUUUAUUAUGUUUCCUUAGCACAUUUAAUGUUCAGAGUACACCUGGGCGUUCGGUGGUACGUUCGGUUUCGGUUCGGGUGAUUCGGAUUUUCGACAAUUAAUCUUUAUCAAAAUAUUUUUGUAUAAUAUAUUUUGGUUUGGAUUUCAUAAAUUUUACGAGCUUUCUUUUGUAUCCAGACUAAACUGUUACCAAUAUUUUCUUUCUAUUUAAUUCAGAAAAUGAGGUGUAAACUAGAUUACUAGUUAAUAAAAAAGUAUUUGUGGAAAAUAUAGAAAAACUUUCAAUAUGAGGAGAGGAUUAUUCAACCCAUUCGUUUUUAAGUUUUUUUAUUGAGUUUUCCUGGUUGUGAAUGUUUAUGCUGACAUCAUGCCAACAAAAACUGCAAACGUCGUCAACGGUCACUGUCGUUCCCACACACCAAAGACCAAUUUUUCAACCAUGGAAUGUCGCUGCUAUGCCUCUCUUAUCUUUUCCUUCACCUCAUGAUCAUAAGUAAUGACUAUGACUAUAAAACUAUCUCCAACCCAUCCCUAUUUUUAUCUCUAUAUUUUCCUCUAAAAUAGGAAAACUCUAUUAUAGAAAUGAAAAUGUAUACCAUUUUGCUUAUACUCAAAAGCAAGGAGAUAUUCUCUUAAUCACUUAUCGACCAAACGUAUACCAUUUUCUUGAUACUCAAAAGUCACAUCAAGAUCAAGAUUACGUGGAACGUUCUUCUUCUUCGUCCUAUAUAUGGCGCAGCCUUUGUAAUAAAAUUUGAAAUAUUAGUCAAUAAAAAUAUUUGUGAAAAAUAUAAUAAAACUUUCACUAUGAGGAGGAUUUUUUUCGAUCAAUAUGAGGAAGAUUAUUCGACCCGUUAGUUUUAAGUUUUUUUUUUUAAGUUUUCCUCGUUGUGACUGUUUAUGCAGACAUCACGGCCAACAACAAGUGCUAACGUCAUCAACGGUCAUUGUCGUUCCACACACCAAAGACCAAAUUUCAACCAUGGAGUGUCGCUGCUAUGCCUCUCUUAUCUUUUCCUUUACCUAAUGCUCAUAACAAAUAAUAGUAUAUACCUAUAAGAGUACUGCCUUAAUCACUAAUCGACCACAAGAUCGAAAACGUAAACCAUUUUUCUUGAUAUUCAAGUCACAUCAAGAUGCAGACUACGUAUAAUAUUCCUUUUCUUCUUCGUCCUAUAUAUGACGCAGCCUUUGUGAGAAAUUUCGAAAUAGUUUCAAAAAACAAAUAUGGAGCUCGACUCUUACAACGAGCGCAAAGCUUUCGACGAGACCAAGGCAGGAGUUAAAGGUCUCGUCGAUGCUCACAUCACUGAGGUUCCUCAUAUCUUCCGUCUCCCUCAAGGUACCUUAUCCGACAAGAAACCCUCUGUUUCUGCCUCUGCGAUCCCUGUUGUCGACUUGGCAGAAGUAGACGUGUCACGUGAACGUGUCGUUGAGAAGAUCAAAGAUGCUGCAGAGACUUGGGGAUUUUUCCAGGUGAUCAAUCAUGGUGUUCCUUUAAGCGUUAUUGAAGAGAUCAAAGGUGGAGUUCGCAGGUUUCAUGAGCAAGAUCUCGAAGUUAAGAAAUCUUACUUCACGCGUGACCCCACCAAGUGUUUUGUCUACAAUAGUAAUUUUGAUCUGUACAAUCCUUCUUCUCUAUGUGUUAACUGGAGAGACACCUUCGUUUGUUGCAUGGCUCCCGAUCCUCCAAACCCUGAAGACAUACCAUUGGCUUGCAGGUAUAAAUAAAUAUUGUUUUCUCAUCAAAAAUCUGUGGAAAAAAUAUUGAUUCUAACUAGGGCCGGAUUUGAGAUUUUGUGGGAUAAAAAUAUUUACUAAGAUUUUAAUAAAAAAAUAUUUAUAUAAUUUGUAGGCUGAUUUUUUUUGUAUAUAUUGAUUCUGACUAAGGCAGGGUUUUGUGGGAUAAAAAUAUUUACUAGAUUUAAUGAAAAAUAUUUAUAUAGUUUGGAGGUUGAUCCCCUAUACUAUAUUUGCGAAGUGAUUUUGCCAUAUGUCAUCUUUACAAUCAAUUUCACAAAACAAAUAUGACAUGACCACUGAAAUUGAUGACAUGGUUUCCGAAAAAAAUAUGACAUGAAUAAUUUUAUUUAAUGCUGAUUUAUAUUUUUGGCA
rnacentral:lncRNA from 1 species